rnacentral:rRNA from 1 species
AUGUUUGCUUUCAUGGAUAUGAUCUCAGCAUUGUUAUGCCACAUGUGCCUGCUUCUUCUAGCGUCAUUUGAUGAUAUUUCUGAACCCAUCUCUGAAUCUUUUGAGUUCACUACUGCACCAAAGGUGACUGUGAAACAUGAUCACAAGCAAAAGUCUGCACCUUUGGUGGACACUGAGGUUCGUCGCAGUGCACGGCUCAGUGCUUUAAGAGAUGGAUACCGUUUGCCAUGUAGUGGCGCCAACAAAUCUAAUGGUCUGAACAGGUCUCCGCACACUUUGAAGAAACACAAGACCAAGUCCGCUCAGUCUGAUGGAGCUUCAUCAGUGUCACCACCUACUGCCAUCUCUGAACUCCAACGUAUUGGGGCUCGCCUGCGCAUCGCUCCGGAGAAGAUAGCCACGGAUAAGCUUGUUGCUAAUCCGGCUUAG